CAAUAGCGUAUAUUAAAGUUGUUGCAGUUAGAACGCUCGUAGUCGGAUUUCGGGGCGGGCCGACCGGUCUGCCGAUGGGUAUGCACUGGCCGGCGCGUCCUUCCUCUCGGAGACCGUUCCUACUCUUAACUGAGCGGGAGCGGGAGACGGGACUUUUACUUUGAAAAAAUCAGAGUGUUUCAAGCAGGCAGCUCGCUCUUGCAUGGAUUAGCAUGGGAUAAUGAAAUAGGACUUUGGUGCUAUUUUGUUGGUUUCGAACACCGAAGUAAUGAUGAGAAGGGACAGUCAGGGGCACUCGUAUUCCGCCGAGAGAGGUGAAAUUCUCAGACCAGCGGAAGACGAACCACUGCGAAAGCAUUUGCCAGGGAUGUUUUCACUG
rnacentral:rRNA from 1 species